UACGUAGGUGGCAAGCGUUGUCCGGAUUUACUGGGCGUAAAGAGCGCGCAGGCGGUCGUUCAAGUCGCGUGUGAAAGCCCCCGGCUCAACUGGGGAGGGUCACGCGAUACUGAUCGACUCGAAGGCAGGAGAGGGAAGUGGAAUUCCCGGUGUAGUGGUGAAAUGCGUAGAUAUCGGGAGGAACACCAGUGGCGAAGGCGGCCUGCUGGGCAGUUGCUGACACUGAGGCGCGACAGCGUGGGGAGCAAACAGG
rnacentral:rRNA from 1 species